GAGAAAGUAAGAAAGGGCGCAUGGAGGAUGCCUAGGCUCUCAGAGGCGAGGAAGGACGCGAUAAGCUGCGAUAAGCCCCGGGGAUCGGCACAUACGAAUCGAUCCGGGGAUCUCCGAAUGGGGCAACCCGGCUGGUUGAAGACCAGUCACCUGUUUACAGGAGCGAACGCGGGGAACUGAAACAUCUAAGUACCCGCAGGAAGAGAAAAUAACAAUGAUUCCCCAAGUAGUGGCGAGCGAACGGGGAAGAGCCCAAACCAGAUCUGUUACGGCAGACCUGGGGUUGUAGGACCACGACGUUGCAUCCAAAAACGAAGCUUAACUACCUGGGAAGGUAGGCCGCAGAGGGUGAUAGCCCCGUCAGCGAAAGGUUUUGGAGCAUAGUGGUAUCCUGAGUAGGGCGGGACCAGGGAAAUCCCGUCUGAAUCCACCGGUACCAUCCGGUAAGGCUAAAUACUCCUGAGAGACCGAUAGUGAACCAGUACCGUGAGGGAAAGGUGAAAAGAACCUUGAAUAAAGGAGUGAAAUAGAACCUGAAACCAUGCGCCUACAAGCGGUCGGAGCCCUUUAGUGGGGUGACGGCGUGCCUUUUGCAUAAUGAGCCUACGAGUUACUCCUCCCUGGCGAGGUUAAGUGUUUGGAAACACGGAGCCGCAGCGAAAGCGAGUCUGAACAGGGCGCACAGUCAGGGGGGGUAGACGCGAAACUUUGUGAUCUACCCUUGGGCAGGAUGAAGUUGCGGUAACACGCAAUGGAGGUCCGAACCAGUUUCCGUUGAAAAGGAUUUGGAUGACCUGAGGGUAGGGGUGAAAGGCCAAUCAAACUGAGAAAUAGCUCGUACUCCCCGAAAUGCCUUUAGGGGCAGCGUCGAGGUUGAGUCUCGUGGAGGUAGAGCUACCGAUAGGACUAGGGGGAGUCAAAUCCUACCGAAUCCUGACGAACUCCGAAUGCCACGUGACAUACUCGGCAGUGAGGCUUGGGGUGCUAAGGUCCCAGGCCGAGAGGGAAAGAACCCAGACCAUCAGCUAAGGUCCCUAAAUUUACGCUAAGUUGAACAAAGGAGGUUCAGUUGCUUAGACAGCCAGGAUGUUGGCUUGGAAGCAGCCAUUCAUUUAAAGAGUGCGUAACAGCUCACUGGUCGAGCGACAGGGCAUCGAUAAUAAUCGGGCAUCAAGCGUGAUACCGAAGCUAUGGAUAGAAUUUAUUCUGUGGUAGGGGAGCAUUCCCGUCGGCUACGAAGGCGCCUGGCAAUGGGCGUUGGAGCGUCGGGAAAAGCAAAUGUAGGCAUAAGUAACGAUAAUGCGGGCGAGAAACCCGCACACCGAAAGACUAAGGUUUCCUGAUCAACGCUAAUCGGAUCAGGGUUAGUCGGGUCCUAAGGCCGAUGCGAGAGCUAAGGUCGAUGGACGACUGGUUAAUAUUCCAGUACUAGCGUAACCCAGCGAUGCGGUGACGGAGUAGUGAAAGGCCCGCCUGGUGACGGAAUACCAGGUUAAAGCACGUAG
rnacentral:rRNA from 1 species